rnacentral:rRNA from 1 species
UACGAGGGGGGCAAGCGUUGUUCGGAAUUACUGGGCGUAAAGCGCACGUAGGCGGAUCGAUCAGUCAGGGGUGAAAUCCCAGGGCUCAACCCUGGAACUGCCUUUGAUACUGUCGAUCUGGAGUAUGGAAGAGGUGAGUGGAAUUCCGAGUGUAGAGGUGAAAUUCGUAGAUAUUCGGAGGAACACCAGUGGCGAAGGCGGCUCACUGGUCCAUUACUGACGCUGAGGUGCGAAAGCGUGGGGAUCAAACAGG